UGCGUAGGCGGAUUCUUAAGUGGGAUGUGAAAUACCCGGGCUCAACUUGGGUGCUGCAUUCCAAACUGGGAAUCUAGAGUGUGGGAGAGGAAAGUGGAAUUCCUAGUGUAGCGGUGAAAUGCGUAGAGAUUAGGAGAACACCAGUGGCGAAGGCGACUUUCUGGACCAUAACUGACGCUGAGGCACGAAAGCGUGGGGAGCAAACA
rnacentral:rRNA from 1 species